UACGUAGGGUGCAAGCGUUGUCCGGAAUUAUUGGGCGUAAAGAGCUCGUAGGCGGUUUGUCGCGUCGGCUGUGAAAACCCGGGGCUCAACCCCGGGCCUGCAGUCGAUACGGGCAAACUAGAGUGUGGUAGGGGAGACUGGAAUUCCUGGUGUAGCGGUGAAAUGCGCAGAUAUCAGGAGGAACACCGGUGGCGAAGGCGGGUCUCUGGGCAGUAACUGACGCUGAGGAGCGAAAGCGUGGGUAGCAAACAGG
rnacentral:rRNA from 1 species